CUUCCGAUCUCUCAGAACGAACGCUGGCGGCGUGGAUAAGACAUGCAAGUCGAACGGGAACUAGCGGGUAGCAAUAUCUUCUAGUUCUAGUGGCGAAAGGGUGCGUAACACGUGGGUAAUUUGCCGUAAUGUUGGGGAUAACCCGCCGAAAGGCGAGCUAAUACCGAAUAAGGAUUUCUGGCGGCAUCACCAGAAAUGCAAAGGUGGGGAUCUUCGGACCUGCCGCUUUACGAUAAGCCCGCGGCCUAUCAGCUUGUUGGUGAGGUAACGGCUCACCAAGGCGACGACGGGUAGCCGGUCUGAGAGGAUGUCCGGCCACACUGGAACUGAGACACGGUCCAGACACCUACGGGUGGCAGCAGUCGAGAAUCAUUCACAAUGGGCGCAAGCCUGAUGGUGCGACGCCGCGUGGGGGAUGAAGGUCUUAGGAUCGUAAACCCCUGUCAUUUGUUAACAAACCUUCAGGAUCAAUACCCCUGAAGCUGAUAGUAGCAAAAGAGGAAGGGACGGCUAACUCUGUGCCAGCAGCCGCGGUAAUACAGAGGUCCCAAGCGUUGUUCGGAUUUACUGGGCGUAAAGGGUGCGUAGGUGGCUCUGUCAGUUUGGUGUGAAAGCUCCGUGCUCAACAUGGAAAUUGCACUGAAUACUGCAGAGCUAGAGGAUCGGAGGGGAGUCUGGAAUUCCAGGUGUAGCAGUGAAAUGCGUAGAUAUCUGGAGGAACAUCAGUGGCGAAGGCGAGACUCUGGACGAUUCCUGACACUGAGGCACGAAGGCUAGGGUAGCAAACAGGAUUAGAUACCCUGGUAGUCCUAGCAGUAAACGGUGUGCACUUGCUGUAGGCGGAUUCGACCCCGUCUGUGGCGUAGCUAACGCGAUAAGUGCACCGCCUGGGGAGUACGGUCGCAAGAUUAAAACUCAAAGAAAUUGACGGGGGCCUGCACAAGCGGUGGAGUAUGUGGCUUAAUUCGAUCAACGCGAAGAACCUUACCUGGCCUUGACAUGCAUCUCUAAGGCUGUGAAAGCAGUUGAGCUUCUUUGAAGCAAUUUGCACAGGUGCUGCAUGGCUGUCGUCAGCUCGUGUCGUGAGAUGUUGGGUUAAGUCCC
rnacentral:rRNA from 1 species